AGAGAGAGAGAGGAUUUCAGCAAACCAAAUUGGCCCCUCGCUCUUAUGGGGACAAACAAAAUAUACAUCUUUUAUAGGUACGAUGCAUUGUCAUGGCUACCACGGUGGAUAUAGUAUUAUCCAUUCGAAAGGAAUGGAGCAUCCCCUGAUCCAAUCCAAGAUUUAGAUUCUCGGUGCGUGGAUUGCACCAUAAACUGUUGUAUCGAGCUCAAUGGUCAUCAUCAGAAGAUGGAUGGCUAUCAAUAGUAAUGCGCCCUGUAUGGCACGUAAAGCGACCUUGUAUAAUAGUUGUCUAUCUCCUGGUGGUGGCCAUGGAGCUCAAUAUAGCUCUUUAUAGUGCAAUCCCCGAACUGCAGAAGGUCCAUGAUCCCCCUGAUCCCCUCUUCCCCCUCCUUGUUUAGUUCCAUGUAGCAUGACCUAAAAACGACUCCAGAUAUUCUGCUUCAAAAGCUUUCACUACCAAUUGUAGACAUUUCUAACAUUUUGCAUUUGCAGUCGAUUUUAUACAGUAAAGAGACUUCAUGCCAAAAACUCAACCUAGCCUAAUCCUGUUUGGCUAGAUUUUGUAAUUUUAUCAAGUUGACUCAAUGUUGGGUGUAAUGGAUUGGGCAGAGGCCAAAGCUUUACCCAACUCAAGUAAAGAGUAUAGUUUUAUUGCAUGAUUUAUGUGAAACGAUAUGAAAUAGAGCGAUAAACAAAGAAACUUUUCAUUGCACUAGUACUCCACCAGCCACCGAUCUCCCCUCAUCAAUCUAGGCCAUGAAAUUGGGCUCUCCUCUCCCAUCCACCUGGUGCACUAUCUGGGGAAAGGGGUUCUUUCACUUCAUCUCUCUCUACCUCUCAGCAUCAUUGCUUCGUUCCAUACCCCAGUCAUGUCCGAUCACUAAGAUUUGAUAGAUCAGUGAAAAGUCAGAGCUCACUUGAGCUUGGCUUGAUUGGUAGACCGAGACUUACAAUCACUCUUUCUCAUGCGAUCUCUCGCUCACCAGUCUUCCACCUCUCUGUGCCUCUUAAAAUGCCUCCCUAUCUUAGGAUGCUCCAUCUGGUGGCUACUGCCAUGAACAACUACCCCACACCACUUGUCGGUAGGUCAGAGUUGAGCUCCCCCACUCCUCUGAUCUCUCUCUUCAUGUCCCAUGACCCACGGAUCCCCAUGUUUCCUCUCUAGCUCUCUCUCUCUUUCCCCCUCCCUCUCUUUCUCUCUUUUUCUCUCUAAUCUAGUUUGUCAGUCUCAUAGAACAAGAGGUGCAAGGGACACCUGAUCUUGGAGGCGCAUUUGGCUUAGGGUCCAAAACCCAUACCCGAGGUAAUCACAAACCCCUCCUCUAUUCUUAGAUUAGGGAAUAGAAAUCUUAGCAAUUGGAUUGGAUUUAGCUUGUGCACCCAUAUCUUGGCUACCAGUCAUUAGAUUUGGGGUCAAAACCCCUAAUUUGGUAGAUUUUUGAGCUAUGGGACCUUGAGUGGUUCCCGCAACUAGGAGACCUUUCAUUUGCCCUAGAUUUAAAGUGAAACUAUAGUUAAUUUAGAUCAUUUUGGGAAACCUAAUCGAUGAUAUAUUUUAUUCAGGUCAUACGUAGUAUUGUUGGAGGAAUUUUUGUGCUUUAUAACUUGAUCCAUAUGUAUCUCUAUACUUUCGAAGUUUUCUUAUGCAUUUAUGUUUUAUUUAUAAAAUUUAUUUUAUAUUUGAUACCUUGAUCUGCAUAUAGAUAUUUUGUACCUAUAUUUAGUACAUAAUUAUUAAAAAAAUUAUUUACCAUGAAUGAAAAGAAAUAAGUGUAAAAGUCAUAGAUCAAGCAUAGAAAACAGCAUUGCAUAUGCUAGGUGGAUUUUCAUUAUAAAAAUAUGCUUCAAGAAAUUUGUUAAUUAAUAUCUCAUGCAAUACAUUACUUGAACAUGAUCAUAAGCAUGACGAUUUGAUUGCACAUUGGAAAUAUUCGAAAAGAGAAGUCCACUUUGUUUUGAAAUGCAUUGAAAGAAUUAUUUUCACUAUAUGAAUGGGAAAAUUGGUUUGGAAUAUAAAUAAUAUUUACCCUCUAGUCUGACUAUGAUUCAGGGCUUACCGGUCAAGGUUGAUUUUUGGCAUGUUGAUGUGACUCAAAACUAGUCUCCUUACGAGCCUAGCCUUUGGUGUUGAUAGCUGGCAUAUAUCGAUCACUGUGAUAUUAUGUUUUGAGGAAGUUGUUUCUUUCGAGCAAAGCUUGUCAAGGCUGAUGGUUGACAUGUUGGUAUGAGUCAGAGCUAGCAUUCUUUUAGGCCUUGCCAAUCGAGACUGAUUGUUGGCACAUACUGAUCGAGGGUAUUUUCUUGUUUAGGAGCUAAUCUCUUUUGAGCCUUAUUAGGAGGCAAAUAAAUCAUGGUCAUAGUCACUAAGGCUAAGAAAGGACAAAUGGUAAACUAUUUUUAAAAGGAAAAUUUCUUCACUAGCCACAAAAAUGGCUUAUUUAUUUGUACAUUGGUAUUAUCUCUGGAUAGUAAUUUUAUCUUCAUUAUUUAUAGGCUAAAAAUAAUACCCUCCUAUAUUUUGGAUGGAAUUGCAAAUACUCUUCUGCUUUUUAAAUUGCUGCAAUAUCAACCCUGUAUUUCGCACAUUGUUAUAUAUAAAGUAGUUCACCUUCCUAGAGGUGCCUUCUUGUCACUAGAGGCUCACUAGAGGUGCCUUCUUGUCAGCUGACAUCAAGGUGGUUAUGUGAUGUAGAUUUUUUUUAAGAAGAUGGAAUUUGACAUGGAUAAUCUUCCCUUCUUCCCCAAAACCUAGGUUUUCAAAAACCCUAAUUCUUGCAAAAGAGAAAGAAAUCUAAGAUGAGGGAGCCAUGUCUCAUUGAAAGUGGUCCAAGGGGCAUACCGAUCCUACAAGAAAAUUUACAGGACCAUAUUACAUGAACAAAUAGAGAUAUGCAAGGUGAUAACAAUGUCCCACAUGAACCAAUAACAUGAUAAUUAUAUGAGAGAUUCCUGCAGAUUAUAUGUUAUGAUGACUUCUAGUAAUCCGAAAAAACAUGAAAAAUGUUGAAGGCAAAACAAGGAAUGCCAUGUAAGUCAUUUAACAAGCAAAAGAAAUUCUGUGCUAGAAACUGAAACUUUGGACAAAAAACAUUCUUAGCAAAUCAUUGGGUGAUACUUUAGUAAACAAUUGAAGUACAAUGCCCUCAAAAAGCAAGCUAAAAAAUAUCCUUCAAAUCUAGUAACAAGUAAAUCAGGAACUUCAUGUAUAAGGUGAACCAAUUAGCAAGUCAGGCAUGGACCCUCAAGUGUUUUCUUGGAAAAAAUCAUAACUUCACCAUCCCUAUCAGCAGUACAGUGUAGACUGUCAUCAAUUUUACCUCUAUAAAAUGAUUCACUUACAUGGCAAUGAACCUAGAAAAGAAUUGAGAUAUUCAGGCCCUUCUUUAGACAGGAAGGGCAAUGGUGAAAGUAUCACUGCCAAGAUCUAUCCAAAGGAAAGAUCAACACAUUGCUUGCCUGAUAAAGCAGCUUUACAUCAAGUGCUAAUUUUGACCCCUCACCUCAAAACUGGACAUCUAUAAAAAUAUCCGUACGAAAUGCUUCCUGCUACUCCAGAAUUUGCAUGUUAGUCCAGAACUUGAUGCUCAUACCAUUUAACAGGAGAAAAAAGAAGUGGAGACCUUCAAAUGUCAUUGUUUCAUCAGUUCAGCCACCAAUGCUUGAGCCAUGAUCAAGUGCACUAUCACUAAAACUACCAACAGCAACCACUACUCACUUCCAGUACUCCUUCGAGAUGCGUAAUCUAGAUAUAUUUAAAAAAAAUAAAGAAAUAAGACAUUAAUAUUCUGCAGUAUAAACAAGUUCUAAAUGAUUUUGUAUGUGUUAUACCUCUUGAAGGCCCUUUUCCUUCCAUUGCUUCCUUUUUUCUUGGCAGCCUUGGCAAAGGAAUGGACCAUCCCAAGGAUGCAAUUUUCCAGGCUGCGAUAAACCAGCAUGUACAGAAAUGCCCUCACCAGGUUUCAUCUCUACCUGGCAAACCGCACAUAUGAAAAGCUUGAACAAGUUGCAUAUUGGAUAUUCUGCUUCUAACCUGCAGCCCACAAGAAGUUCAUUGAUUAUUAAUUAUCACAGAAAUGCUUAUAUCCCACAUUAAAUGUUUGUCCCAAACUCAAAUGAUAUUUGUUGCAAAUUGUUUUUCUCCAAGUUCAUAAAACUAGUUUUAUCUUAUGGUUAUAUACAAGAGAUUGCUGUACGUUUUUGUUUUUAAAUGUUCACUCACAUGCAUUAGUUUCAAAAGCGAAGCACUUGAAGCACCACAAGUAUCCUCAAGGUCUCUCACUUGGGAAAGUGCUAACAAGAUAGCUUUUUGAAGAUAACAGUAUGCCGUACACCUUUACUAUUGAUGGCAUAUUAAUGCAUCAACUCAUAUUAUAUAUAGGAAUGGAAUGGGCCAGAUUCCAAGCCAAGCAUGGAUCCAAUCCAAAUUUUUAAACACAAGGCGUAGGCUUAAUCCAGCACAAAAAUGUCUAUGCGGUAUAGCCCCAAACACAAACAAAGAUUUGGACCAGGCUGAAACAUUUCAAAAACAUGCUAGAGAUAGAAGAGAGAGAGAGAGAGAGAUCGGUGCUGACUUGCCAAGGCUGUCAGCAUCAACGACCAAGGGCAUGGGAAGUUUUAGGUUGCUAGAGGGUGCGUCAACAAGGUCAUUGGGGUUGUGUGGGACCAUCAAUUGGUGCAGUUGAGGUCAGGACCAUCAGGUACUCCCAUGGAAGAGAAGAGAGGGAGGCUAGUGGAGGGAGAAAAGAGAGGGAUCAGGAGGAGAACAGGAAGAUAGAAGGAAAGGAAAUAAAAGGAGGAGAGAAGCAAGAAAUGGGGAGGAUGGGAAUGGAAGAGGAGGAGAGGAAUUAGGUUUUGAUUUGGGCCAUCCAUCAAACAAAUAAAUGGAGAAGUUUUGUUUUUAAUAAAAUAUCCUUAUAAAGAAGCGCCCUUUUCUGGAGAAGUUCAGGUAUUCCUAGUCUUAUCAUGCAAAGGAAAAUUGCUUCAGCUGAAAAUUUGAGAAGAAAUAAUUGGCCUACAUCAUUGGCAUAUGAUUUGUGCAAUGUAGAAGAAGAAUCUCUUCCUCCUUUGUUUGCCAAUUGUGGCUAGUCUUGUCAGGUUUAGGUUUAUUUCUUAUCUAAAAGGGGGUUCACUGACUCCACUGUUUCUCAACAUCAAAUUUUGUUUCUCUAAGAUCAGGAAAGCUGCGAUGUUGGCCGGUAUUAUGCUUGCAGCCACUAUCUGUUUAUCUAUUUGCAUAUAAAGAAACAAAAGAUUGUUUGAAAACCAGUCUGAUGAUGUUGUUGAGGUGGUGGAUAAAGUUACCUUUCCUCUUGAAGAUUGGCUGAGCAAGAGCAAAGUUCAGUGUUGCUGAAAUUAAAUAUUUCUGUCUAUUAGUUAGUUAGGGAUCUAGAGGAUUGUUAGACCUUUUUGGGUUGCUGCUGUUCAUAAUCCAUCUAAUUACUUGAUAGUUGAGAUAAAGUUGAUCUCCAGUCUUUCGUUUUUUCUCUUUUUAUAGUAUUUCUUAAUGUCGUUUAACUCAUUUGUAUUUGCUCUACUUUCAUAUACUUCGAAAAGUGAUUAGACACAGCCUGAUCUUUUCACAAAAAGCUAAGACAAAAUAAAAUAAAAUAAAAUGUGCUUAUACUUUAACAUGUUAUAACUAUUCAAUAAGGCUCCAGAACAAGCUNNNNNNNNNNNNNNNNNNNNNNNNNNNNNNNNNNNNNNNNNNNNNNNNNNNNNNNNNNNNNNNNNNNNNNNNNNNNNNNNNNNNNNNNNNGAAAGUAGUUGGUCCCGGGCAUAUUUACAGCCCUAAUUAAUACUCCAAAUAUUGUUUUCUCAUUCUAAAGUGAUAGAUUAGAUUAAAUAUAUGGGACUGAGUUACAAUUUGACUCUUAAUUUACAACUGGUUUACUGGAGACUAAUGCAGUUUUCCAUCCUGACACUUGGAAUGGUACCCCAUCUUGGCAUCCUACAAGACAUCCCACUGGGGUUUGAAACCAUGCUUACCACCUUCCCUCUUUGGCUACACACUUUUUAAGUUACAAGGAAAUUCAAGGGGUUACUUCUUGGUUGCGUGAGCUUAUACUACAAUGAAUAAAGUAAAUUUCUUGCAUGCCAAAUGGCUUUCCAGGAUUCCUGGAAAGCUCCUCUUUUGCCUAAAGUUACCUAGGUCAGGAAUUCAGCAUCACUCUAAGAAACUUGACAGGUUGACUGCUAGUCACGAAAAUCUACUGAAAAUUCAUAAAAACUUCAUGAUUUACAAUGUGCAUUUCAACCAAGAAAUGCUUUGUUGUGAUGAUGCUUUAUGAUGAUGGUGAUGAAGUAUACUAGAAAAAAAGAAUGCAAAAGCAUCAAUGCCCCGUACUGCCCGGUACAAGGCGUAUCAUACCGUACCAAGAGAAACUGAUACGAAACUUCAAGUCGGUACAAGCCCCAUACCAUCUCAUAGCGAGAUGUAUCGAGGUACAUACAAGCCAGUACCGAGGCAUACCGACCUGUAUUGAGAUAAAAAUUGAAAAAAAUUGUUAGAAAGCUAUUUCAAUACAGAGGUGUACCAUACCAAACCGAAUUGAUAAGGUACCGAUACGGUACUUAGUACCAAGAUUGCGGGCCUUGAUCAAUAGUAACCAUUGAUUCAAUGACGAAACAAAUUUACUUAUCAAGUUCUAAAUCAAAAUACUGACCUUUUGGCAAGCAUUGCUGAUCCCUCUUCAUAUAUUUCUUCUACCACAUCUGGCUCAGAAUAGUCUCCAUCUGAAUGAGAUGUUGACUCACAAGACUUUCUGUGAAACAUAUGUUUGAAUACCCCUAUCCCUUGCCUCUUUGGUAGUGGAACAGUAGGAGUUACCUUUUCUAGAGGUAAUAUAUCAACUACAAUGCAGGUAGUAUCAUCUCGUAGUCCUUUGACUUGUACAGCUUCCUACAAAUGAAGAUAUAUAAAAUAACUAGCAGAAACCAUUAGAUGCGGCUCAGCCAAAAUGUAGGCAAACCAUUAGGAUGCGGUACCUUAACAAUCUGACUCGCUGCAACAUCUGCUGACAGGCCACGUGAGCAAUUAAGAGUCAUUUCAAAAGUCAAAGCAUCCCAUACGCCAUCACUUGAGAUGAUAAGUCGACCACCAGCAUUUGAUAGCUGUAGUUCAUCAGAAUCCAUUAUCUUGGUUAUGUUUCAGAAUGGCAAUAAUACAUCAUACUAAAGAACACAAAGGUUGAUAUUACAACAAUAGGUAUUAACAUGCAUAUAGUGUAACUACAUCUGAAAAUAAGUGGGAAAAAGACAGAUCCAAGAAAGAAGUGAAAUAUAUCAUGAGACAACAAUAAUUAGCACCAGUCUCUACUGACGUACUUAAACCACAGUUAAGUGAACAAUUUUAAGUACUGUUGUCUGUUGGAGUCAGCAUGGAAUUUAUUAUGUGCCAACAACGCAGACAUUUUCCAUACAUAGAUCUGGAAAAGAUAUUUCAUUUUGUCAAAUGAUACUUAUAAAAAGUCCAUGAACAUAUACCAAUGAAACUUUUUUUCUCAGUGAUACUGAUUGAGACGCUUUGUAGGUUGUAUGUGUGGAUGCUUGGAGGCUCAGCUGUUAUCUCCAUUGAAAAUCUCAUUUAUGGACAUGAGGUACACUUGGAAUGUUGAAAUGAUAAGGAGCAGGAAGCCAUACAAUCAUAUAAUUGGAGUAAUGUUUCUAAUUGCAUCCGUGUAUGUUUACCAUUAUCCAUAUGAAAUUGUUGUGCCCCAACAAUUUGAGGACAUCAACAGCAUCUGUGAUCUCUAACAUUUCCCCCCAGUAUGUAUGUAACAAAUUUUACACAAACAUAGUUUUCAAAAAAGUUCGGGGCCAAAUAAAUAAUAACCAAACCUGUGAAUAUGUCAGCAUGGUAGAGUAUCAGUUAAUGAGACGGCAAUAAGAAAUGAUGUUCUGGCAUAUAAACAAUGACCUGGAAACUAUCAUGAUCUAUGUCAUGUUGGCAAGUCCAGACACACGGCAUAUUGCACGAUAUAGUAUGUAAAAUUGGCAACAUGAAACAUGGGGUUAAAUCACAGUGCAGUAAGGCAAUACAAGUGAAUAUUACAGCUGCAAAAUAUAAAUUACCGACUUCUGGUAUA
rnacentral:lncRNA from 1 species